CCCCACUUUCAAUCAGUCAUUGCUCCACGAGCUAACGUUGGAUGCAAGAUGAUGGGUUCCUGUGCCGCAUACCUAAUGAAAUGGAAAUCCGACYCUUUGGUUGUCCCUUCCAUCCGUGCGUCCUAAGGGAUGCUCGGUUGGACUUGAGAUAGAGGGCUCGUGGUCCACGGAGAUCGCACGCGAUCGUCCCGAUGGAUCUCGAGCGCCUUCUUGUCCUCUCGGAUGCGGAAAGUCCCUCAYGUGCGUGGGUCAUCGGCCCUCGUUCCCGAACSCYGAAGCGUCUAUCGCUUCAUACCGGAAUGACGCUCUGGCCUUGCCCUUGAUCACGUGGAGCGCUCUCGGGCGACCACAAGGAUCAUGCUCGGCGGACGUCGUGAAGGAAUGCUACCUGGUUG
rnacentral:misc_RNA from 1 species